GUAAAUGAUAUGCUAGCUACCUUAAAGUAAGGAGAAAAAUUCCUUAUAAUACAUAAAGAUAUAGAAAGUUUCGCUUUAAGAUGUUAGGCAAUAUCCUGGAAGAGUAAUAGUGAUAAACUAGCUCAUGUUCCGGCAGUCGUGACUGAGAGGUCGAACGAUCACACUGGGUCUGAAAAAAGCCCAGGGCAUAUUGUACAGCAGUGGGGAAUAUUGGUCAAUAGCCUAACGGCUGAACCAGCAACUUGGAAGAAUGAAAAACGAAUAAGUCGUAUAAAGUUCUAGGUAGAAUAGUGAUAAUGACAAUUUUCUAUCUAUAAGUCUUGACCAAAUUNCGUGCCAGCAGUCGCGGUAAUACGUAGAAGACUAGUGUUAUUCAUCUUUAAUGGGUUUAAAGGGUACCUAGACGGAAAAUCAAGCCAUAGUAGGGACUAAUUUUCUAGAGUUUUAUGUGUGAAAAGGCGAAUUACCAGAGGAGAGUCGAAAUUCAUUGAUACUGGUAGGACGGGUAACAGCGAAGGCAAUUUUCUAUGUAAAAACUGACGUUGAGGGACGAAGCCUUGGGGAGCGAUAAGGAUUCGAUACCCUAGUAGUCCUUGGAGAAAAUUAUGAGUGCCAUAGGCUAGAUUCUAGCUUAUAAAUGAAAGUGUAAGCACUCCACCUCAUGAGUAAAGCGGCAACGCCCAAAUUGAAAUCAUUAGACCGUUUCUGAAACCAGUAGUGAAGUAUGUUAUUUAAUUCGAUGGUCCGCGAAUAACCUUACCACCUCUUGAAUAAUAUUUAAUUAUUCCAAGCGCUGCACGGCUGUCUACAGUUAAUGUCGUGAGAUUAUGGUUAGUUCCUUCAAUUAACGAAAACCCU
rnacentral:rRNA from 1 species